CUCUACUCUACUCUCAAAUGGUUAUAACCCGGCCCGGAAUCGAGAACUCUUAUUUAAUAAAUUGUGGAAUUAAGAUCUGUGUUUGAUUAUGAUUCUAGUCAUGCGACCUGCAAAUAGGAAAGACCUAAGAAGAAAUUUUGUGAGAUAGGUCGGGGUGAGUUGACCCAGGUUCAGAACGCAUUAUGGAUUGAGCCAUCUGGUUCUCUGUUUACCGUAUUAAUUAUAUAUUAGAUGUUUGAUUAAAUGAAGUAAUAAACAUGCUUCUCGGUAUGGAAAUCAGUGAAUAAUUAAUAUGACGAAUUUAAUCUUCCACCAGCUAAGUUGAACUUUGAAGGUAAAAUUCUGAAAUAAGUAAAACAUAAUCCGAUUUUUACGAUAGUAAAAACUCGUUAAAAGCUUUCACAAAUGUAAAUAAGAAUUUUUCUAGAUUUAUACAUAAUCCAGAAAAAUAAGAAUCUAAACUGAAACUCGAAACUUAUGUUGCUGACGGAAAAUGGAUAGUUCAACAUGGUCGGUGGAGGAUUAAUAAUCUCAUUUUUAAUGGAGUUCUUCGUUCAGAAGGAUGUUCUUGAUACACCAUAAUUAUUGGCCGGGCGAUCCUCGAUAAAUACUUUCCUUGGCGAAACUCGUUCUGGCACACUUGCCUCUGCUCGCGAUUCGGAUUCGGAGAAAGUGAGAGCAUGGAACGCGUAACAUUACUUCAUCGCUAUGACGAAGAUACAUAUACGUACACGCAUAUUCUAAUGUAAUGAUUCAUAUUCUGGAGAAAACAACUGGAAAUUUCGAUGCGUUCUUUCGAAUUGCAAAAGCAUUUAUAAGGAAUUCGAUCGUGCAACUUGAUAAAAAUUAUAAAAAAAAUGAGCGAAUUUGCUAGAAUUUUUAUAACUUCAUUGAUUAAUAGUAUUUUCUCACUUUUAUAAUUUUCAUCAAGUUGCAUAAUGCACAAUCAAACCCCAGAAUCAUUUCACCACUGAGAUAAACUCUAGAGAAAUGUCCUUCACCAAAGUUCUUGAAAAUUCUACGAUUCGCGAAGAGAUAGUGUUUGAGAACCGCUGUCGCCUGAUAAAGCGGUAUUAUUUUGCAUCGUUAUCGAAAACGCAUACUUAAGGGUCAAAGUAGCAGACCAUCUUGGC
rnacentral:lncRNA from 1 species